GGGGCUGUGGUACAGUGGUAGUACGUCUCACCUGAUUAAACUUUCCAUCCUUGGGUGCGGUGUUCAUCCCCUAGGGGUUUACUGACCCGUGAGGGUUAGUUUUAUCAAGAAGGUGAGAAAGGUCCAGUGUUCGAUUCACUGCGGCUCCG